rnacentral:rRNA from 1 species
AACGAACGCUGGCGGCAUGCCUAACACAUGCAAGUCGAACGAGACCUUCGGGUCUAGUGGCGCACGGGUGCGUAACGCGUGGGAACCUGCCCUUAGGUUCGGAAUAACUCCCCGAAAGGGGUGCUAAUACCGGAUAAUGUCUUCGGACCAAAGAUUUAUCGCCUUUGGAUGGGCCCGCGUUGGAUUAGCUAGUUGGUAGGGUAAAAGCCUACCAAGGCGACGAUCCAUAGCUGGUCUGAGAGGAUGAUCAGCCACACUGGGACUGAGACACGGCCCAGACCCCUGCGGGGGGCAGCAGUGGGGAAAUUUGGACAAUGGGCGAAAGCCUGAUCCCGCAAUGCCGGGUGAGUGAUGAAGGCCUUGGGGUUGAAAAGCUUUUUUCCCCGGGAUGAUAAUGACAGUACCGGGAAAAAAAGCCCCGGCUACCCCCGU